UAAUACCAAUAAUUGAAAUUUUCUCUGUUCUCUGCUCCUUGUUUAUUGCACUAGUGUAGUUUUCAUCUAAACCUAGCACGGCGCUAGUGCACCAGUUUUCCCAGUAGAAAACGCUAUUAGAGAGACACCGUCCAAUUGCACAUACUGUGUUAAUCCUUCCACCAUAAUUCAGACUAAUAUUCACUUGUUGCAAGAUUUUCUGAAUGUUUAUCGACAAGCAUCGAUAAACCAUUUAGAGAAUCCCACUACUGAAUAAGUACACGGGUUGCGUUCAGCAGAAAAAGCAGUUUUGCAAUUAUGUAAAAUUCUUUAAUACGAUUAACCUUAGUUUCUCACUGGAUCUAAGUGUAUAAACCAAUCAUAUUCACAAAUUUUAUAACAGUUGUAAAGUUGCUUUUUUUUUGCUGAACGCAGCCAUUGUCUUCAACUUUAACGAGUAAUAUCUCAGAGUAUCGAUUAUGUAACUUUUUCUGUAAAACGUGAAAAUUUUUAUGCAUUUCCAUCCUGGGGAAAAGAUUACAUGAUCACUAUCCAGUUCUCGGAGCAGAGUUUAUUUCUGCCAAAUUUUUUUCGUUCUAUGCAAAAAUACGUCAAAUAAGCCUAAUUUUACUGAUUUUUGAGCUGUGUUAGCUAAACUACAUAAUUGCCAACUAUGUAUAUCCUUUUAUUUAAUUUACCUAAACAUGUCAUAUAUUCACAUAUCUAGCAGUAGGGAAUUUUCUUU